GCGGGUAGGGGCAAACAGCUUCUGGGUGCUGUGGGAGCUGCUGGGCUCUGUUUGUUUCAAGUACAGUGGAGCGGUGCUGACCAGAUAGACCUGAGGAAUCGUAGCUCUGCUCUACUUGCACAGUCUUUCAAAGUGGAGUAAAGAAUGCCUGUUGACCAUCCACAAGGCACCUGCAAGACUGUGAAUCAAAGUUGAAACCAAGAAUUAUUUCUGAAAAAGGAUAUUUAUGGAAUAG
rnacentral:lncRNA from 1 species